rnacentral:ncRNA from 1 species
AUUUUUUCAGGGCAAAUCUAGUGAAAGCUAGAGACGCAAAGCUAUAGGGGCUAAAACAGUAAUUCUGUCAUGCCAGCCAGCUGCCGUC